GACGAACGCUGGCGGCGUGCUUAGCACAUGCAAGUCGAACGGAAAGGCCCUGCUUUUGUGGGGUGCUCGAGUGGCGAACGGGUGAGUAACACGUGAGUAACCUGCCCUUGACUUUGGGAUAACUUCAGGAAACUGGGGCUAAUACCGGAUAGGAGCUCCUGCUGCAUGGUGGGGGUUGGAAAGUUUCGGCGGUUGGGGAUGGACUCGCGGCUUAUCAGCUUGUUGGUGGGGUAGUGGCUUACCAAGGCUUUGACGGGUAGCCGGCCUGAGAGGGUGACCGGCCACAUUGGGACUGAGAUACGGCCCAGACUCCUACGGGAGGCAGCAGUGGGUAAUAUUGCACAAUGGGCGGAAGCCUGAUGCAGCAACGCCGCGUGCGGGAUGACGGCCUUCGGGUUGUAAACCGCUUUCGCCUGUGACGAAGCGUGAGUGACGGUAAUGGGUAAAGAAGCACCGGCUAACUACGUG
rnacentral:rRNA from 1 species